AGAGUUUGAUCAUGGCUCAGGAUGAACGCUAGCGGCAGGCCUAAUACAUGCAAGUCGAGGGGUAAGAGUCAGCUUGCUGACUACACGACCGGCGCACGGGUGAGUAACGCGUAUGCAACCUACCUUUAACAGAGGAAUAGCCCCGAGAAAUCGGGAUUAAUACCACAUAACAUUAUGAUAUGGCAUCAUAUUAUAAUUAAAACUCUGGUGGUUAAAGAUGGGCAUGCGUGACAUUAGCUUGUUGGUGAGGUAACUGCUCACCAAGGCAACGAUGCCUAGGGGUUCUGAGAGGAUGAUCCCCCACACUGGUACUGAGACACGGACCAGACUCCUACGGGAGGCAGCAGUAAGGAAUAUUGCGCAAUGGAGGAAACUCUGACGCAGCCAUGCCGCGUGCAGGAUUGAAGGCCUUAUGGGUCGUAAACUGC
rnacentral:rRNA from 1 species